rnacentral:rRNA from 1 species
CGCGUAGGCGGCCGCCCGCGUCGGACGUGAAAGCCCGGGGCUCAACCCCGGAACGGCGUCCGAUACGGGGCGGCUCGAGGCCGGGAGAGGGGGGUGGAAUACCCAGUGUAGAGGUGAAAUUCGUAGAUAUUGGGUGGAACACCGGUGGCGAAAGCGGCCCCCUGGCCCGGUCCUGACGCUGAGGCGCGAAAGCGUGGGGAGCAAACA